rnacentral:misc_RNA from 1 species
GAUGAAGAACGUAGCGAAAUGCGAUAAGUAAUGUGAAUUGCAGAAUUCAGUGAAUCAUCGAAUCUUUGAACGCACAUUGCGCCUGCCAGUAGUCUGGCGAGCAUGCCUGUUCGAGCGUCAUUUCAACCAUCAAGCCCCAGGCUUGUGUUGGAGCCCUGCGGCUGCCGCAGCCUCCCAAAACCAGUGGCGGGCUCGCUAUCACACCGAGUGCAGUAGUUUACUCUUCGCUCAGGGCGUGUGGCGGGUGCUAGCCGUGAAACCCCCAACUUCUCAAGGUUGACCUCGGAUCAGGUAGGAAUACCCGCUGAACUUAAGCAUAUCAAUAAGCGGAGGA